CUGAGCCCUGUGUGGAUGCUUGCAGCACCCAGCUGACAGAGAAGGGUAGAGUCCAGCCCCACAGCCUCAGUUUGGUCUCCAGAGAUCGAGAAAUGCACCAAACAGAACACUCAGCAUAUACUUCACAAAGGCCCAGCCCGAGCCGAUCAAGGCAAUGGUGAUGAAGAGAAGGGCGCCCUUCAGCCUGGGAGACCAGGGGGUUCUGAUGAUGAGGUGGGGACCCAGACCUCCCCGCCUGCCUCCCCCACCUGUGUGCAGAGCCAGGCAGGCGACUCACAGAGCACGGACACCCAGAAGAUGCCUGCAGCCAGGAAGCAGGCAGACAUGAUCAGGUAGAGUUUGAAGAGGGGGAUUUCGGCCGCUGACAAGUAGCCUUCUGGAUUCUUCUCUCGGAUCAUUACCUGUAGGAGAAGGGGGUUGACAACGCAGAGCCUCAGUUGGUCCUGUCUCUCAAAUGGGUACACAGCCUUAAACUGGAAGCCAGAGGACUGGCACUGGGACCCCAGAAGAACCAACACCCAAGGAUGACCCAGUGUCUGUCAAGGGAGUAUUUGCACAGGGCCUUCCACACUUCCAGAAGGCUCAGAACAGCUGAACACUGCACACCAGGGAUACAGAGCUGUUAUAUGACACUGAUUAGGAGACACCAGGAGAAAAGUGACCACAGUAAACCAACACCCAUUGUGACUGGAUCAUUCAGGGCAUAUUGUGUCAUCUGUCUGUGUGUAGGCCAAGGACAGCUUCAGGUGGCACCUUGAGACACAUGUCUUUAAGGUAGGAGCCAACUGACUCCUGAAACUUGUCCUCUGACUGCCACAUGCACUGCACAAACACUCACAUUCAAAAUAAACGUACAACACGUCUCUAGGUCA